GACCUCGUCGCGCAAUUGGUAGCGCGUCUGACUCCCCAUCAGAAGGUUAGGUGUUCAAAUUACUUCGGGGUCA
rnacentral:tRNA from 1 species